GUACUGAAGUUAAGGUUUAGCAUUAGCAUGUAGCUUAGCAUUAGCAACAACUUGUAUUAGUUUAUUGUUUGAAUUUAUACAGAACUUUGGUAAUGACUAAACUUCUUGUGUCUUGUAGUUUUCACUCCUUCAAUCUGGUGAAGAAAUGAAAAGAGGAGAUCAUCUCUUUGCUCCCUUCAGAGCACUUCCUGUUGAUAAAUCCAGAGCUACAGAUUCACAGAUAUAAGAAGACCGAGGAGUUCAGAUGAAAAGAAACAAAGCUACAUGGACAGACAGGUCAUUGCUGAGUCCAGCCAGUGAGGCUCCAAACCUCCAUGGAAAUGUGAACAAAAUGAGAGAAGAUGCCGGUUUGAGGCGAACACACACAGACUGCACUGAUGGGACGCAGCUCGGUGAAGGACCGUCUCCCCCCUGGUCAACAGAAGAGAGAGAGAGAGAGAGAGAGAGAGAGAGAGAGAGCGCGUCAGAUUACAGCAUCUGACAACAUCACCCGAGGAACAGACAUCAACAGUGGCCCCCCUGCUGCUUCUUUUGGAGUCUUGUGUUUAUGAUGGCACAUAUAUCAUCACAUAUAGACUGAACAGAGCACAGAUACAGACACAGGCAGUUUGAAAGCAUCAUCAUCUACACUCCGUUAACAUUUAAAUAAAGUGUUUAGCAUUUUAAAAACCUCAUGGUUUCAGUUCAAUGUUAGAUGUUUUCAAGCACAAAUAUAAUCUGUACUUACUGCAGUUUUUCUGUAACCACUAAAAACUACUUAAAAGGCCGGGUUGGUGAUUUUCUCCAGAUCCACUUUUUAAGAUUGUGGUUGAAAUUGUCUUUUGGUCCUGACAAUGCCAGCAAUGAGCUGAGGUCUGCUUCUGGGGUGGGUGCAGACGGAGCACUGAGGGAAUGCUACUUUUAGAAAAUGACCGACCCUGCCUUUAACCCAGACAAGACUCUCUCUUACCUGCUUUUUGUGUCUUGAGAUAACAUUUGGAUUGAGUUGGCGCUCUACAAAAUAAAGAUUGAUUGAACUGAC